AACGAACGCUGGCGGCAGGCUUAACACAUGCAUGUCGAACAGUCGUAGCAAUACGUUAGUCGCAGACGGGUGAGUAACAUAUGGGAAUAUCCCUUUCAGCUCGGAAUAACUCAGGGAAACUUGAGCUAAUACCGAAUACGUCCUUCGGGAGAAAGAUUUAUCACUGAGAGAUUAGCCCGCGUCUGAUUAGCUAGUUGGUGAGGUAAUGGCUCAGCAAGGCGACGAUGAGUAGCUGGACUGUGAGGAUGAUCAGCCACACUGGGAGUGAGACACGAGCGAGAAUCCUAAGGGAGGAAGCAAUGAGGAAUAUGGGACAAUGGGGGCAACCCUGACCGAGCCAUGCCGCGUGAGUGAUGAAGGACUUAGGGUUGUAAAGCUGUUUUGCUAGGGAAGAUAAUGACUGUACCUAGAGAAUAAGCCCCGGCUAACUUCAUGCCAGCCGCCGCAGUAA
rnacentral:rRNA from 1 species